GUUGUUGAAAACUUUAUGGUGGAGAAUGAAUGAUGUCUGUUGGAGGGGGAGAGGAAGAGAAAGAAUCAGGAAGCUGAGUUUCCUCAGAAACGUUGGCAAAGCAAGUCAUUGAAACUGGUUCAGGGUGCUCUCCUCACCUGGGAUGGGCCCCGAGCCUCCAUUUACGGCCUCACGGGGGCCACUCUGCCUU